GGGGACGUGCGGGGUGCUAUCAUGCAAGUCGAACGCUUUGUGGUUCACUGAUUUGAAGAGCUUGCUCAGAUAUGACGAUGGACAUUGCAAAGAGUGGCGAACGGGUGAGUAACACGUGGGAAACCUACCUCUUAGCAGGGGAUAACAUUUGGAAACAGAUGCUAAUACCGUAUAACAAUAGCAACCGCAUGGUUGCUACUUAAAAGAUGGUUCUGCUAUCACUAAGAGAUGGUCCCGCGGUGCAUUAGUUAGUUGGUGAGGUAAUGGCUCACCAAGACGAUGAUGCAUAGCCGAGUUGAGAGACUGAUCGGCCACAAUGGGACUGAGACACGGCCCAUACUCCUACGGGAGGCAGCAGUAGGGAAUCUUCCACAAUGGGCGAAAGCCUGAUGGAGCAACGCCGCGUGUGUGAUGAAGGGUUUCGGCUCGUAAAACACUGUUGUAAGAGAAGAAUGACAUUGAGAGUAACUGUUCAAUGUGUGACGGUAUCUUACCAGAAAGGAACGGCUAAAUACGUGCCAGCAGCCGCGGUAAUACGUAUGUUCCAAGCGUUAUCCGGAUUUAUUGGGCGUAAAGCGAGCGCAGACGGUUAUUUAAGUCUGAAGUGAAAGCCCUCAGCUCAACUGAGGAAUUGCUUUGGAAACUGGAUGACUUGAGUGCAGUAAAGGAAAGUGGAACUCCAUGUGUAGCGGUGAAAUGCGUACAUUUAUGGGAAGAACACCCUUUGGCGGAGGGCGGCUUUCCUGGCCU
rnacentral:rRNA from 1 species